rnacentral:rRNA from 1 species
GAUGAACGCUGGCGGCGUGCCUAAUACAUGCAAGUCGAGCGAACGGACGAGAAGCUUGCUUCUCUGAUGUUAGCGGCGGACGGGUGAGUAACACGUGGAUAACCUACCUAUAAGACUGGGAUAACUUCGGGAAACCGGAGCUAAUACCGGAUAAUAUUUUGAACCGCAUGGUUCAAAAGUGAAAGACGGUCUUGCUGUCACUUAUAGAUGGAUCCGCGCUGCAUUAGCUAGUUGGUAAGGUAACGGCUUACCAAGGCAACGAUGCAUAGCCGACCUGAGAGGGUGAUCGGCCACACUGGAACUGAGACACGGUCCAGACUCCUACGGGAGGCAGCAGUAGGGAAUCUUCCGCAAUGGGCGAAAGCCUGACGGAGCAACGCCGCGUGAGUGAUGAAGGUCUUCGGAUCGUAAAACUCUGUUAUUAGGGAAGAACAUAUAUGUAAGUAACUGUGCACAUCUUGACGGUACCUAAUCAGAAAGCCACGGCUAACUACGUGCCAGCAGCCGCGGUAAUACGUAGGUGGCAAGCGUUAUCCGGAAUUAUUGGGCGUAAAGCGCGCGUAGGCGGUUUUUUAAGUCUGAUGUGAAAGCCCACGGCUCAACCGUGGAGGGUCAUUGGAAACUGGAAAACUUGAGUGCAGAAGAGGAAAGUGGAAUUCCAUGUGUAGCGGUGAAAUGCGCAGAGAUAUGGAGGAACACCAGUGGCGAAGGCGACUUUCUGGUCUGUAACUGACGCUGAUGUGCGAAAGCGUGGGGAUCAAACAGGAUUAGAUACCCUGGUAGUCCACGCCGUAAACGAUGAGUGCUAAGUGUUAGGGGGUUUCCGCCCCUUAGUGCUGCAGCUAACGCAUUAAGCACUCCGCCUGGGGAGUACGACCGCAAGGUUGAAACUCAAAGGAAUUGACGGGGACCCGCACAAGCGGUGGAGCAUGUGGUCUAAUUCGAAGCAACGCGAAGAACCUUACCAAAUCUUGACAUCCUUUGACAACUCUAUAGAUAGAGCCUUCCCCUUCGGGGGACAAAGUGACAGGUGGUGCAUGGUUGUCGUCAGCUCGUGUCGUGAGAUGUUGGGUUAAGUCCCGCAACGAGCGCAACCCUUAAGCUUAGUUGCCAUCAUUAAGUUGGGCACUCUAAGUUGACUGCCGGUGACAAACCGGAGGAAGGUGGAGAUGACGUCAAAUCAUCAUGCCCCUUAUGAUUUGGGCUACACACGUGCUACAAUGGACAAUACAAAGGGCAGCGAAACCGCGAGGUCAAGCAAAUCCCAUAAAGUUGUUCUCAGUUCGGAUUGUAGUCUGCAACUCGACUACAUGAAGCUGGAAUCGCUAGUAAUCGUAGAUCAGCAUGCUACGGUGAAUACGUUCCCGGGUCU